rnacentral:rRNA from 1 species
AUUGAACGCUGGCGGCAUGCCUUACACAUGCAAGUCGAACGGCAGCACGGGUGCUUGCACCUGGUGGCGAGUGGCGAACGGGUGAGUAAUACAUCGGAACGUACCUUAUCGUGGGGGAUAACGCAGCGAAAGCUGUGCUAAUACCGCAUACGCCCUGAGGGGGAAAGCGGGGGAUCGAAAGACCUCGCGCGAUUAGAGCGGCCGAUGCCUGAUUAGCUUGUUGGUGGGGUAAAAGCCCACCAAGGCGACGAUCAGUAGCUGGUCUGAGAGGACGAUCAGCACCACUGGGACUGCGACACGGCCCAGACUCCUACGGGAGGCAGCAGUGGGGAAUUUUGGACAAUGGGGGCAACCCUGAUCCAGCAAUGCCGCGUGAGUGAAGAAGGCCUUCGAGUUGUAAAGCUCUUUUGUCAGGGAAGAAACACCGGCUCUAACACAGUCCGGGAAUGACGGUACCUGAAGAAUAAGCACCGGCUAACUACGUGCCAGCCGCCGCCGUAA